rnacentral:lncRNA from 1 species
CCAAUAGAAAGUGAGCUCCAGGAGAAAAAGGAACUUGUCCUUCUUGUUCACCUCUAUUUACAGCAUGCCAAGAAUAUUGACUCAGAGAGAGUAAGGGAAUCGCCUUUCUCUAUCUCCUGCAGCAUGAGAGUCAUGCUGUUCCUGCAGUAAGAUCCUGCCUCCUGGCCAUAGGUGAAACCUGACUCAAGUUAGCUCAAAAAGAAUAUGAUAUUAGACUGUAAAAAAGAGAGAACAGUUACUUACUGAAUUACUAAACCUCAACCUUGGGUGCUGUUGGGAGCCAUGUUUUCUGUCGCAUGGGCCUGAAAACAAGAAAAGUAAGGGGUAGUGGGGGGAGACAGAGAAAAAGAGGAAAGGGGAGAAGAAGGGAGGGGAGGAUGAGAGGGAAUAGUGAAGUAGUUUCACAGAGAUAAGCAAAGAUUAAAGCUGGGGAGAGACUCUUGACUGACUUAAAUUUCCAUCUCAGUUGCUCUUGAGGAAGCUGUAUUCUGUCCUUGUGUUCAGUGAGACAAUUUACUACUUACGCUAUAGUCCCCUUUUUAAUUCACUAGUCACUCAGUUUCAGUUACUAUAACCAAAAUAAUUAUACUUAUUUCAUCUAGACACAAAUAAUUUAAUUGUUGGGUUAAAUCAUAGGCAUUGUAUCUAAUUUAUGAUGUUCUGAUAGCCAUAGAAAAUUCAUAUUUAUUAUUUAUUUAUUUAUUUAUUCAUUUUCGAGAUGGAGUCUCGCUCUUUUGCCCAGGUUGGAGUGCAGUGGUGCAGUCUUGGCUCACUGCAGCUUCCGCCUCCAGGGUUCAAGCAAUACUCCUGCCUCAGCUUCCUGAGUAGCUGGGAUUACAGGCUCCUGCAACCACGCCUGGCUAAUUUUUUUUUUUUCUUCUAUUUUUAGUAGAGACGGAGUUUCACCAUGUUGGCCAGGCUGGUCUCGAACUCCUAACCUCAAGUGAUCCACCUGCCUCAGUCUUCCAAAGUGCUAGGAUUACAGGCGUGAGGCACUGCGCCUGGCCCAUAUUUAUUUUUUAACCUGACAUUUAAUAUAUAAGUCCAGGUCCUUUAAAUAGAUUCAGUUUACAGAAAAUCCUAAGUAAGCCAUUGUUUUAAGGAAACUAAUAUUUUAAAUCAAUUAACACAAAUAUUAAUUGACUAUAUACUUCUGAAAGAUGUGUAACAGAGAAAGGGAAGGAGAUAUUCCAAGACAGUUAGUAGCAUAAUGAAAGGCAGGGAAAUAUAAAAGUGAAUAGUAUGCUCAGGAAAUGAUGGAUGGGCUUUUUUAAUGAGAUAUAAAAACCUUGAGUGAUAUGAUGGUGGAAAGAUUGGUUGGAAACAGAUUGUAAAAGGCCAUGAGCAAUGGAAAGUUUUAGUAAAGGUUUUGAACCAGAAGAAUGACACAAAUUGAUGUGGUUUUAGAGGUAAUGUUGGGUUUACUGUGAAGAAUACCUGAAUGGGAAGAUACUGGGCAAAACUCAUUGUUGAUUAUUUGAUAAACUAUGAGUGGCCAAACUAGGGCUACAACAAUAGAAUUAACAAGAAGGCUUGUACUUCAGAGGUACUUUAGAGAUACAAUCAGCAUAAUGUAAUAAUUGAUGUUAGAAGUUUGAUGUUGGGAGUGAAAUAAAAGUUGAAGUGUGAGGCCCUUAAACAGAGAAGUAGAUGCAUGACAAUACUAAUAUGAGACAGGAAGGAAGAGAAGCUGGUUUUGAGCAUGUCAGAUUGACAUGUUUUGAGACCACCCAGGUUUACAUAUACAAAAGGCAGUUAGGAAUAUGAUAAUGAAUAUUUUACCUGUAAUAAUCAUGGCUAGAAAGAGAGACAUAGAAAUUAUUACCUUUGUCUGAGAAACAGUGAAACUAGAAAGAAAAGCAGGAGAGAUUGGCUUUGGCAAAGGCAAGGAAAAACAAAAUUGCAAUGAUGGUGCCAGAUAUACAGCACCAAGGUCAAGCAAAUGAAAAUGUAAAAGGCCCAGUGGAUCAGGCAAUGAGGGCUUGUCGGUAUGUUUUGCAAGAGUAUACUCAGUGGCAGAGUGGAGGGGACACACUAGAUCUCCUAUGCUAUAUUUUGAGGAGCGUUUCCUCUUUCAUAUGAUGUAGGAAUCUUAGAUUGUGGAGCCUAUCUCUUGGAUUCAGAUAUGUUUGUGUUCAUCUGUAAGACUGGGACAGGAAGCCUCAAAGGAGUCAUUUUCUAUAAGUGACUGAGGAACCAUUCAGAACAGAACUCAUUCUGAGAGAAGAGUGUGAGUUAGUCCCAAGUUAAAGGGUCAGUGUCAUAAUGGAAGGGUAAUUUUCAGGAAAGCUGGGGAUGUGCUCCUCGGCUUGCCCCUUUAUUUUACUGUUGUCCCCAGAGAUUUGUGUCAGAGCCCCAAAAGAGGGGAUAGUAAAAAAAGAGAGGGCGGGGGAGAGAGAUUUAAGAACUUGAGACGACAAGGCAACCCUCCUUUCUAUCCUAUGCAACAGAGUAUGGCAGUGCUGUGGGUUAAGGGAAAUUUCUGCAUUGUGUUUGCUUUUGGAGCAGGUUGAGUUGUGGAACAGACACAACACCUGGAAAAGAGAAGAAACAGGACAGAAUGUCACACUCAGGGAUAACACAACCGUAACCAAGGAGGUGAAGGGGAGAAAGCCUUGUGGUACCAGAGAGCCAAUUGUGAAGCAUAAAUAUGAUAAACUCAGAUGCCUUCAAGAACAAGUUGGGAGAAUCUGGAAUCCCAACAUUUAUGGCUGAGGGCCAAAGACAGAGAAAUGCUAUUUCAUUAUUAUUUUUAUGGCCUUUUUUCUAUCUUUAUUUUUUUCUGGAGAAAUGCUCCACUGCUAUAUUUUUAAAAAUUUAGAUGUAGGCCAGGCGUGGUGGCUCACACCUAUAAUUCCAGUGCAUUGGGAGGUUGAGGCAGGAGGAUGACUUGAAGUCAAGAGAUUGAGACCAGCCUGGGCAACAUAGUGAGACUCUGUCUCUACAAAAAUAAAAAUAAAAAAUUAGACUGGCAUAGUGCUGUGUUCCUGUAGGCCUAGCUACUCAAGAGGUUGAGGCGGGAGGAUUGCUUGAGCCCGGGAGUUGGAGGAUGCAGUGAAUUAUGAUUGCACAACUGCACUCCAGCCUGGCUGACAGAGUGAGACCAUUUCACACACACACACACACACACAAAAUCUGGAUAUAUAAUUAUCUUCAUAGACUCAACUUAAAUAGAAAAGUGGAUAAUGUCACUUCCCUUUUAGCCAAAUCAGGAGAGACUCAUAAUAAACAGUUAAUGUAUUUCCUAGAAAUUUUACAGAAAUUAUAGCUUGGGUAAAAAAAAAAUGGCUUUUUAAAUCUAUGUAUUUUAUUUCAGUGUUGCACUACAGAAAGUUUUAUCUUUGCAUUUAGCAGGUUCUUCUGUGUCUUUGGUGUUAGGUUGCACCAUCAUUGGGUGUCUCUAUGAAUAGUAUUCUGUAAACAAAUAUUCAGUUGACAUAUUAAUAACUUCUUUCGUGUCAGUAACUGUUUAAUGAGCUUUACACAUAUUGUGUGAUUAAUUCCUUCAGCAACUCUGUAAAGAAAGCAUUAUUUCCAUGUCAAGACUGAGAAUUAAAUGCGAAACCUUACUUAAAGCCACACUCUUAAUAGUAGAGCAAGAAUUUAACCUAAGUUUGUCUAACCCUUCACUGCUUUGCUGUACUGCAGUCACACAAGCCAUUAAAAGUGUCUGAGGUACAUAAAAAUUUCAAUGUUGCUACAUUUUACUCUUUUUACUCUUCUGAGAUAAGAUUCUCUAUCAUUCUGAUUUAUUGGAAGCAUCAAAUUCUCCUUAUCAUUCAAGGAAACUACGUGGGCAACACUUCCACCCUUAAACCAUGACUGCAUCCCUUUCACUCUGUCCAGAGUUUUAUAGUCUGAAAUUUACCUCAUCACACCUGCUUUUAAUAAUUAUUCAUCAGAGCUUUUCCUGAAAAAAAAAAUACUCUGAAUAUGGAUAUCAUUAUGAGUUUUGUCAUUUCCUCUCAUGUUAUUUUCAACAAGUUAGAGAUGGCCUUAUAAUAAUCAGUAAUUGCAAGGCUUUGGAUAAACCUCAUGGCUAUCAUGCC